rnacentral:lncRNA from 10 species
ACCAUUUUGCUCUCUGCCUUCCCCUCACCGCGACACCGCGCUCUCCCCCACCCCAACCACAGCCUCCCGGCUUUCCUCCCCCGACUACGGCUCGCACCCCACCCCACCUCCAGUUCGGGCUCUCCUAGGCUUAGGAGCCUGCCGGAGAAAAGGAACCUAAAUCUACUGCUACACAGAGAAGCGGAGCCUCCAUCUUGCGCUGCUCCGCGUUCUCCAUUUUGGGCCACCCAUGGGGGGGGGGGGUCUCCGUAGAGGCCCCGAGGGAGAGUUGGGCGAGGGAAGGAAGAGAAAAUCUUCAGCGAGGGUAGUCGAAAAGAAGAGCCCUGCGGUAGAAAGCCACUCUAGGAGUAGGAGGUAGGGAGGAAGGGGGGCUGGAAGUUCCUUGGAAGUGUUGGGGUAGCGACUUGGGGGGAGAAGGGAGAAAGGAGGGCGGGGGGCGCCGCGGGGGCGAGAAAGAUCCUCCCGCCUGGACUCUGCCCCCCGUUCCAUGGCUGCCCCCCAUGGGGGCGAAGAAAGCAGAGGGGAAAUUCAAUGGCAACAGAGUGCCCAACCUCUUUCCCUCCCAACUCCUCUCUCUCGCCCUGUUUCAAUCAUACACACCUCACGGUGGGCCAAGCGCCCUCCGGGUGCCCCUCCAAACUUCUAGAAGCUUCGCCUCCGCCAUUUUAUAACUUACCUCCCCCCUCAGCGUACACAGAGGCAGCAACGAGACUGUUCGCCUCCCCCACUCCUCCUUCUUUCUCAGGCCGGGGGCUUCUUCACCCCUGGGCUGGUACAAGAUAUUUUUCCCCUUCCUCUUCUUUACACCCUCGAAUUCUACUCAGGGACGGAAGCUCCCGCGGUUCUAGAGCGGUGGGGGGUUUUGAAAGUGGCGGUCGGAUCCGGCGGGGUUUUUUUUCUUUUUUUUUUUUUUUUUUUUUUUUUUUUUUUUUUUUUUUUUGGUGGCGCUUCGGGAUUGUUUGGGGUGUUCGCUCUUCGGCGACUUGGAGGCGAAUGGAACGCGCAGGCGCCAUCUGUCGGCCACGAACCCGCGCCCGGCUCCCGUUGGGAGGGAGCGGCAUCUAGCGGCAGAGAGUUGCCACUGCAACGCCUGGCUCCCAGCCCUCCCACCCAGCGUCCUCCUCCCAGUCACCGACCAAUCGUGGCCGACUGACUCCCGGGUUCAGCGUCUCCGACGCCGCCCGCAAACCAGGCGCCCGCAGGGGCGCGCCGCCGAGUGGGGUAAACAAGGUGCCGUGCCCGCGCCUGACUUACUCAUUCGUUUGGCCGCGCUUCCGCCGCGGACCCGAUCGAGCCGCGGUUCUUCUGUCUUUAGUGGGGUGUCGAGGGGAGGGCGGUAGGAAUGUCCGGCGGAGCCCUGGGCCGUGGGAAUCCAGAGGCUGGCUGGGUUCGCUCCGGGACUCGUUCCCCGGGCCCCUCCGCCCCUCGCGAGGCGCUAAGGUGGCAGCCCAGUCGGGCAUCACCCUUCGAAGUCCCCUCUUCUGACACACCCCUGUGAGGGGCCUGUGGCCCUAGUUCCCGUACCUUCGAUGCCCCCUUGUCCCUACCCCUUCCCACCAAAAGAACCCAAGUCGCUUAACUCUGGCACCUGAUCCUAAAUGGUUUAAUGGAGCUACUUGGGCUAGAUCGGGGGCGGAAUACGGGUUGGUUUUGUUUUGCUUUUUGCUUCGGGUGUGGAGAGAGAGCGAGCUGAUUCUCUACCAGUAAGACCUAGCCCUGGAAAAGAAAGAAAAAUUGUUUUGCUUUACAGCCCACUGGUCCCGUCUCCGAGAAAACGUGGUCUGUAUCUCCAGGUUCUAGGAGUCCUAAAGAACUGGACUACUAGGCUAGGCCGGGCGCUCGACCAAUUUGUUCGCCACUCUCGGGGCGGGGGAAGAGAUAGGACCGAGCGAAGUGGAGGGAAAUCGAAAUUUGGGCAAAAGGAGUGGAGGGGGACCUACCCCGCCUCCCCCGCGCAUCCACUGCCUUCCUGGGCGGGUGCAACCACGCGAAAUGGUUGGGAAUUUAGGUUACUUCGCAUCCUGCCUUCCCAUCCCUCCCCCAAGAUGUUUGAAGUGCGAAAAGACCCUUUCUGCUCCUCCGACCCCUGUUAACUAAAAUCUUUGUCACCCUUUUUUUUUGUUUGUUUCGAAUCCAGUGUAUUGGACCUUUGACCGCCAAGAGCUCUUUACUCGGGGGAGAAAAACUCGAGGAGGGCCUAUCCCCUCCAAAGCGCCGCUUUUUCCUUGGACAGGAAGAAGUGACCUAUUGCAGUGUCUCCAUUGCUGUUAUAGAAGUUCGUAGAUUCAUAAAAUAGUGUUUGCUUAAGAAGUCUUCGUUUCUGUUCCAUUUUUGAAAUUUUGGUUAAAAUAUUUCUUAAAUAUUAAAUUACAUUUCAAUUAGAAGAAAAGAAAUAAAACGUAUUAAUAACAAAACAAAUUUUCCAACUGAGAAAUAGGGUGAGCCCCGUGUAAAUCAUGAAGCUUUCACCCCGAUAUCACUUCUGAAACAUUCCUAAUGUAAUAUAACGAUUAUUUUCAGUCCUUAAAUUAUAUUCCUUCCAUAUCUCUUGUUAGUUUCUCUCCCAUCCUCUGUGCUUAUUGUUUUUUCUGCAACUUUACAAAAA